CCUACGGGAGGCAGCAGUGGGGAAUAUUGCACAAUGGGGGGAACCCUGAUGCAGCGACGCCGCGUGGGUGAAGGAGUAUUUCGGUAUGUAAAGCCCUAUCAGCAGGGAAGAACAAUGACGGUACCUGACUAAGAAGCACCGGCUAAAUACGUGCCAGCAGCCGCGGUAAUACAUAUGGUGCAAGCGUUAUCCGGAUUUACUGGGUGUAAAGGGAGCGCAGGCGGCGCGUUAAGCCUGGUGUGAAAGUCCGCGGCCCAACCGCGGGACUGCAUUGGGAACUGGCGCGCUGGAGUGCCGGAGGGGUAGGCGGAAUUCCUAGUGUAGCGGUGAAAUGCGUAGAUAUUAGGAGGAACACCAGUGGCGAAGGCGGCCUACUGGACGGUGACUGACGCUGAGGCUCGAAAGCGUGGGGAGCAAACAGGAUUAGAUACCCCAGUAGUC
rnacentral:rRNA from 1 species